rnacentral:rRNA from 1 species
GAUGAACGCUGGCGGCGUGCCUAAUACAUGCAAGUCGAGCGACCAGACGAGGAGCUUGUUCCUCUGACGUUAGCGGCGGACGGGUGAGUAACACGUGGAUAACCUUCUUCUAAGACUGGGAUAACUACGGGAAACAGCAGACACUAACGGCUAAUAUAUUGUACCGCUUGAUUCAAUAGAGAAUGACGGUUUUGGUGUCUCUAAUAGAUGGAUCCGGGCCGGAUUAGCUAGUUGGUAAGGUAACGGCUUACCAAGGAAACGAUGCGUAGCCGACCUGAGAGGAUGAUCAGCCACACUGGAACUGAGACACGGUCCAGACUCCUACGGGAGGCAGCAGUAGGGAAUCUUCGGCAAUGGGCGAAAGCUUGACGGAGCAACGCCGCGUGAGUGAUGAAGGUCUUCGGGUCGUAAAACUCUGUUAUUGGGGAAGAAAAAAUGUGUAAUUAACUAUGGACGUCUUGACGGUACCUAAACAAAAAGCCACGGCUAACUUCGUG